CUCCCUCCCCCUUUGGGCCACGCCUCCCAACGUUCCCACCUACGCUUCUGUCUUUUCUUGUCCUAGACCUUGGGGUUGUGCGCUCCCAACUCACUACAGGCUGGGCCUUUGGUUCUGCCACUGGGUGCCCGUCGGACCCCUGUACUCAAGCAGGCUGGGCCGUGAGAGCGCCCAUAGAUCACCGCUGUCUUCAGCAACGGGAAAGUGGGCACAUAGAGAGGGGACGGUUCUUAGCCUUCAGGCGGUCCCCAAACCCCUUGAUUUAGAGGUGAGAAUAAAGUCAGAGAAAGAGAGAGAGAGAGAGAGAGAGAGAGAGAGAGAGAGAGAGAAAGAACGUGCUCCCUGCACGCCCUGACGUGUGGCCGAUGGAGACGAGACCCAGGCCUGGUUCCCCAACCACCACCUGCUGCCUCUUUCCUUCAGUGAGGACCGGGCCGCUCUGGCCCAGCCCAGGUCCUCACGGCGCCCGGAGAACCAGUUCCCAUCCAUCACUUAUUUUUAGCCACCUUGGAAAGUUUCCAGUUGCCAAAGGCGGAGAGGUGACCUGCUAUUUUUUUUUUACUUUUAUAGAACAUUCUGAGAAAAGAAAACAGCAGCACAUUCCAUGUACCCAUAGGUGGUCCCUAAGAACAAUACAACUUUUCAUACAUUUCCAUGAUCUAAUAGUUGAUAUAUACCUCAAGAUAUCUAUAUGCAUGCAUGUCUAUACAUCAACAUAUCUACACACACGCAUAAACAUACAUCAUGUGUGUGGAUGGUACAGAAAAGACUUGGGAAUCACGGAUGAGACCCUCUGCCUACCCAGGCUGGGCGAGUAUUCCACCUGCUUGAACAUCUGCAUACACCUUAUAAAACCAGGGGUUGGACAUGUGUCAUAGGGUUGAGCAAGGAGAUGAUUAAAUGAUAGAGCUGAUGUCACGGUAAUAAUGGAAUGAUGGACGCACGGGUCACCUCAGCGGCCCCACUGGCCUUCCUUGCUUCCUGCCUGUAGGAGGAGGGAGGGCCAGUGUUCCUCCCUGACCACUGGUCCCACAGAUCAAGGGGCGAGGAUUUAACAACAGUGCUCAGAGCGCUGGGUGCUGGGGGACCUUCGGGGGCCCGGGCAUUGUCUCCGUUUCUGCAGACAGCUCUGAGUUUGGUUAAGGGGACGGCAGCCUGGUUGUGACUCGGUACCACUGAGAGCCGUCUCCAGCCCUGCCCAGCCCCGAAGGCUACUUGACCUUCACAAUGGAGCUCAAAGUCAACUCAUGUUUGGAGAGCACGAGGGUUCCUUCCCCAGCAUGCACUUCGCUUGUGAAGAAGCAGAGAAGCAGGCACGAUGGGAAACUCGCCCACGCCCGCGGCCGACGCAGCGCUGAUUGUAGAUGCUCCCUGACUGCAGAGCUCGGAAGGGCAGUGUUUGGGAUCAUGCCCACACGGGACCUAAACGCCAGACAAAAGCCCCUCUGCGGAGGAGCAUGAUGGGAGGAGCUCUUGCUGCUCACGGGCUGGGCCUCCUGGACUUCCUGGGGCUGCGCCGCAGGGUGCGCCAGGGCCCUUCAUCAGGGUCGGCAUCUCCAGGGCGGCACCCACCCGCAAUGGUGCGGGGAGCAGGGACAGGAGGACGCUGGGGGCCGGGGGCAGAGGCUGAGGAGGCUCAGGAG